rnacentral:rRNA from 1 species
UACGUAGGUGGCAAGCGUUGUCCGGAAUUAUUGGGCGUAAAGAGCUCGUAGGCGGUUUGUCGCGUCUGCUGUGAAAAACUCGGGGCUUAACUCCGGGCCUGCAGUGGGUACGGGCAGACUAGAGUGCGGUAGGGGAGACUGGAAUUCCUGGUGUAGCGGUGAAAUGCGCAGAUAUCAGGAGGAACACCGGUGGCGAAGGCGGGUCUCUGGGCCGUAACUGACGCUGAGGAGCGAAAGCGUGGGGGAGCGAACAGG